rnacentral:rRNA from 2 species
UUAAGCGACUAAGCGUACACGGUGGAUGCCCUGGCAGUCAGAGGCGAUGAAGGACGUGCUAAUCUGCGAUAAGCGUCGGUAAGGUGAUAUGAACCGUUAUAACCGGCGAUUUCCGAAUGGGGAAACCCAGUGUGUUUCGACACACUAUCAUUAACUGAAUCCAUAGGUUAAUGAGGCGAACCGGGGGAACUGAAACAUCUAAGUACCCCGAGGAAAAGAAAUCAACCGAGAUUCCCCCAGUAGCGGCGAGCGAACGGGGAGGAGCCCAGAGCCUGAAUCAGUGUGUGUGUUAGUGGAAGCGUCUGGAAAGGCGCGCGAUACAGGGUGACAGCCCCGUACACAAAAAUGCACAUGCUGUGAGCUCGAUGAGUAGGGCGGGACACGUGGUAUCCUGUCUGAAUAUGGGGGGACCAUCCUCCAAGGCUAAAUACUCCUGACUGACCGAUAGUGAACCAGUACCGUGAGGGAAAGGCGAAAAGAACCCCGGCGAGGGGAGUGAAAAAGAACCUGAAACCGUGUACGUACAAGCAGUGGGAGCCUCUUUUAUGGGGUGACUGCGUACCUUUUGUAUAAUGGGUCAGCGACUUAUAUUCUGUAGCAAGGUUAACCGAAUAGGGGAGCCGAAGGGAAACCGAGUCUUAACUGGGCGUUAAGUUGCAGGGUAUAGACCCGAAACCCGGUGAUCUAGCCAUGGGCAGGUUGAAGGUUGGGUAACACUAACUGGAGGACCGAACCGACUAAUGUUGAAAAAUUAGCGGAUGACUUGUGGCUGGGGGUGAAAGGCCAAUCAAACCGGGAGAUAGCUGGUUCUCCCCGAAAGCUAUUUAGGUAGCGCCUCGUGAAUUCAUCUCCGGGGGUAGAGCACUGUUUCGGCAAGGGGGUCAUCCCGACUUACCAACCCGAUGCAAACUGCGAAUACCGGAGAAUGUUAUCACGGGAGACACACGGCGGGUGCUAACGUCCGUCGUGAAGAGGGAAACAACCCAGACCGCCAGCUAAGGUCCCAAAGUCAUGGUUAAGUGGGAAACGAUGUGGGAAGGCCCAGACAGCCAGGAUGUUGGCUUAGAAGCAGCCAUCAUUUAAAGAAAGCGUAAUAGCUCACUGGUCGAGUCGGCCUGCGCGGAAGAUGUAACGGGGCUAAACCAUGCACCGAAGCUGCGGCAGCGACACUGUGUGUUGUUGGGUAGGGGAGCGUUCUGUAAGCCUGUGAAGGUGUACUGUGAGGUAUGCUGGAGGUAUCAGAAGUGCGAAUGCUGACAUAAGUAACGAUAAAGCGGGUGAAAAGCCCGCUCGCCGGAAGACCAAGGGUUCCUGUCCAACGUUAAUCGGGGCAGGGUGAGUCGACCCCUAAGGCGAGGCCGAAAGGCGUAGUCGAUGGGAAACAGGUUAAUAUUCCUGUACUUGGUGUUACUGCGAAGGGGGGACGGAGAAGGCUAUGUUGGCCGGGCGACGGUUGUCCCGGUUUAAGCGUGUAGGCUGGUUUUCCAGGCAAAUCCGGAAAAUCAAGGCUGAGGCGUGAUGACGAGGCACUACGGUGCUGAAGCAACAAAUGCCCUGCUUCCAGGAAAAGCCUCUAAGCAUCAGGUAACAUCAAAUCGUACCCCAAACCGACACAGGUGGUCAGGUAGAGAAUACCAAGGCGCUUGAGAGAACUCGGGUGAAGGAACUAGGCAAAAUGGUGCCGUAACUUCGGGAGAAGGCACGCUGAUAUGUAGGUGAAGCGACUUGCUCGUGGAGCUGAAAUCAGUCGAAGAUACCAGCUGGCUGCAACUGUUUAUUAAAAACACAGCACUGUGCAAACACGAAAGUGGACGUAUACGGUGUGACGCCUGCCCGGUGCCGGAAGGUUAAUUGAUGGGGUCAGCGCAAGCGAAGCUCUUGAUCGAAGCCCCGGUAAACGGCGGCCGUAACUAUAACGGUCCUAAGGUAGCGAAAUUCCUUGUCGGGUAAGUUCCGACCUGCACGAAUGGCGUAAUGAUGGCCAGGCUGUCUCCACCCGAGACUCAGUGAAAUUGAACUCGCUGUGAAGAUGCAGUGUACCCGCGGCAAGACGGAAAGACCCCGUGAACCUUUACUAUAGCUUGACACUGAACAUUGAGCCUUGAUGUGUAGGAUAGGUGGGAGGCUUAGAAGUGUGGACGCCAGUCUGCAUGGAGCCGACCUUGAAAUACCACCCUUUAAUGUUUGAUGUUCUAACGUUGACCCGUGAUCCGGGUUGCGGACAGUGUCUGGUGGGUAGUUUGACUGGGGCGGUCUCCUCCUAAAGAGUAACGGAGGAGCACGAAGGUUGGCUAAUCCUGGUCGGACAUCAGGAGGUUAGUGCAAUGGCAUAAGCCAGCUUGACUGCGAGCGUGACGGCGCGAGCAGGUGCGAAAGCAGGUCAUAGUGAUCCGGUGGUUCUGAAUGGAAGGGCCAUCGCUCAACGGAUAAAAGGUACUCCGGGGAUAACAGGCUGAUACCGCCCAAGAGUUCAUAUCGACGGCGGUGUUUGGCACCUCGAUGUCGGCUCAUCACAUCCUGGGGCUGAAGUAGGUCCCAAGGGUAUGGCUGUUCGCCAUUUAAAGUGGUACGCGAGCUGGGUUUAGAACGUCGUGAGACAGUUCGGUCCCUAUCUGCCGUGGGCGCUGGAGAACUGAGGGGGGCUGCUCCUAGUACGAGAGGACCGGAGUGGACGCAUCACUGGUGUUCGGGUUGUCAUGCCAAUGGCACUGCCCGGUAGCUAAAUGCGGAAGAGAUAAGUGCUGAAAGCAUCUAAGCACGAAACUUGCCCCGAGAUGAGUUCUCCCUGACCCUUUAAGGGUCCUGAAGGAACGUUGAAGACGACGACGUUGAUAGGCCGGGUGUGUAAGCGCAGCGAUGCGUUGAGCUAACCGGUACUAAUGAACCGUGAGGCUUAACCUU